rnacentral:rRNA from 1 species
ACGAAGGGGGCUAGCGUUGCUCGGAAUCACUGGGCGUAAAGCGCACGUAGGCGGCUUGUUAAGUCAGGGGUGAAAUUCUGGAGCUCAACUCCAGAACUGCCUUUGAUACUGGCGAGCUUGAGUUCGGGAGAGGUGUGUGGAACUGCGAGUGUAGAGGUGAAAUUCGUAGAUAUUCGCAAGAACACCAGUGGCGAAGGCGGCUCACUGGCCCGAUACUGACGCUGAGGCACGAAAGCGUGGGGAGCAAACAGGA